AUGUCACGGUGUGGGCAUUUUCUUAAUACUGCUUUCAAUCUUUCCCAAGAUUCAUAAAUGACUCAGUGUCAGUCUGCAAGAAAUUAGAUAUAUCUUGUCUUAACUU
rfam:Nicotiana attenuata strain TT chromosome 1, whole genome shotgun sequence.